rnacentral:lncRNA from 1 species
GAUAACAACUGGACUGUUAAAAAAGAUUAAGUAACAACAAUUAUAAUAAUAAUCUUCUUUUAAUACUGCUCAGAGUUUGUUUAUUCCUCAAGUGAUUAUUCCCUCUCCACUUCAGUGUUUUGUAUAUCAAUGACAAAGUUGUCAUGGAAACUCAGCUAUCACAUGCCAGCAUCAUAUAUUGAAGUCUGUGUCCAGUAGUUUAUUUUUAGGCACUGAUUAAUUCAUUCUUCACAAACUAAUCUAGAAGUUUUGUUUUCUGAUUUAUGUAUUACCACCCCAUAUGGCUUUCCUCAUUUUUUUUCUAAAUAAUGAAAAUAUUUAGCCACACAAAUGAACCAUGAACACAUUUAUACACAUUUAUUUAGCAUUAGAAAGAAGGAAGGCCACUCAUAGUUUUCACACUUCUUCUGAGACUGGUAUGACUGCUUGACUCUGUAAGGAGAUGAGUAAAGUUUCCUGUAAAAAGUGAAAGCAGAGGUGAUGUGACUGUGAGGUCAAUGGCAAGAAUAAAUACAUCAGUAUGUCAUAGAUGCAGCAGCAGAAAGACAUGUUUGGGAAAAGUUUAGAUUGACAACUCAAAUUCUUCUGCCUAGCUUCCAAAUGCACCACCCAAUUCCCAGCUCACUCCUAUGGUUCUCCCAGUUUUGUGUUUCACCAGCAAAAGGACUGACAAGAAAGGGGAGGAGAAGACAAAAAAGAAAGAGAAGGGGCAAUCUGAACCCACUGCCACAAAAACUCAAAAAUGCACUUCCCUGUUUUUGGCAAACCCUGUAAGCUGGAGAAGAUAACUAAUUUCCCUUUGUCACUAAUCUAGCUGGGACCCACAACUUUGCACCUGUCAUAUGUGACAAUUAGAAAUAGCCCCUACAUUGUACUUUCCUAAACUAACCAAAGUUUCACUUGCCUGUUGUUAAUGUGCUUGCAUCUAAAGCUGGUGGCAAUACUAUUUUUAUUAUUUUCUAACUAUUAUGUCAAUAUAUAAUAUGUUGAUCUUUAAGUGUCUAUUGUUUAUUGUUUUCUACUUAUUCUUCUAUUAUUAGACCAUAUAGCAUAACACAUUAUGUUGGGGAAUUUUUGUGGUUUUUGGUUAUUUGAACUGGAUUAGAAUAAAUUGAGUAUACAUGAUACUGUUUUGUCUGUCAUGUCAACAUAUGAUGAUAUAAUAAUUUGAACUUAAAAGUUCAUGAUAUAGUAUAUAAUAUAUAAUCUUCUAUUGUAAAGUUGAAAAUCCCUUCCUAUAUCUUGUUCUACUACAUCAAGGGAAUUUCUGUUAUGUAAGAUUUUUUUUUUGACCUGGAGGAUAAAACUCUAUACAAUUUUAAGGGUAAUAUAAAAAAAGACUUUCUCAAAUUUUCCUUCAGGUGAAACAAGACAUACAAUAGGAAAUUUGUCAGUUCUAUGUUAGUAAAACAAUUAUCUGUUCUAUACAAAGGGAGCAACUAUUUUUUUCUUUUCUUUUAAUUUAAAAUUUUGUUUAUUAUUUGUUCAUGUAUGUGUGUGUAUGUCUGACUGCAUAUGGUGUAUGUCUAUGGGAAAUUGGUGAACUUCUGGAAGUCAAAAGACAGUUUUUUGCCGAGUCACUGCCUGGCACGAGGCAUAUUAAUAAGGUACUGGUAGCAUAACCAAUCAGGUAUGGACACGUCACUCCUAGGCCUAUAUAAGCAGCACCAUUUCUGGGGCUCGGGGUCUUUCACCUACGCAGUCCAUGCUCUCCCAAUAAACGUGUUGCAGAAGGAUCCUGCUGUGGCUUCUGCUUUGCUGGUGAGUUGGGUGCUCACAGAUGUCUUUUCUUUCCUUCCAACUUAGUUCCUGGGGACUCAAAGAGAGAUCAUCAAGCUUGAACACCAAGUGCCUUUAUCCACGGAGACAUCUGUAAUGAAUAACACACACACACACACACACACACACACACACACACACACACAUACACUUAUAUAUUGUACGUGUGUGUGUGUGUGUGUGUGUGUGUGUGUGUGUAUUUCUUUUUGAAAUCCUAACUUCUAUGACUGAAUUGAUUUCACGGAUACAUGCCACUUAUUUUGUUAUCAGUAUCGCUUGGUUUCUACUAAUCUCUCCCCCUUUUUUCAAAAUUUUUUAUUAGAUAUUUUCUUCAUAAACAUUUCAAAUGCUUUCCAGAAAGUCGCCUAAACCCUCCCCCUGCCCUGCUCCCCUACCCACCCACUCCCAGUUCUUGGUCCUGGUGUUCCCCUGUACUGAGACAUAUAAAGUUUGCAAGACCAAGGGGCCACUUUUCCUAAUAAUGGCCGACUAGGCCAUCUUCUGCUACGUAUGCAGCUAGAGACACAAGCUCUGCGGGUACUGAUUAGUGCACAUUGUUGCUCCACCUAUCGGGUUGCAGACACCUUCAGCAACUUGGGUACUUUCUCUAGCUACUCCAUUGGGGGCCCUGUGUUCCAUCCAAUAGAUGACUGUGAGCAUCCACUUCUGUAUUUUCCUUGCCCUGGCCUAGCCUCACAAGAGACAGCUAUAUCAGGGUCCUUUCAGCAAAAUCUCUUGAUUUUCCCAAAUAUUUCCUUGGACUUCUGACUGAAUGAACUGUCCAGGUGGAGCAUGGUACAUCAUAGUAGGCCUAUAUACCACUGAAUGAUUGACUAAAUGAUUGGAAUGGUUGACUAAAUAGUAUACUUAUCAUUUAGUAUACCCAUACUCAUAGCAUUAGGGAGCAACUGAUUGGUUUACUGAUUUUGGAAGCUAUUCAAGAGACUGUGAACAACUGUGUAUUUCUUGCCUUAAGGAACUUACUGGGUAAGAUUGCACAUUUUUCUGGAUUGACUGGCUGACUGACUAACUGACUGACUGACUUAUUCAUUCAUUCAUUCAUUCAUUCAUUCAUUCAUUCAUUCAUUGAUAGUCUGUGCAGAGUACUUCAUAAUGUUCUUGACUAUAAGGACUGACCCAUGUAGCCAUGUUGGCAACUGUUCAGCAUUCCUGUGGAAGAUGAGAGUGUCUUGGAUGAGAAAGCAGGUAUUCAAAACCAGCCUUUUGAAGCUCAAAGUGCUUUCUAUUACAGUACAGUUCAGAAUCUCUUUACCUUAGGGCAUAUUUUAUCAAGUCAGAGCUUCAGAAUCUUAUUCCUUCUAUUCCCUGAUUCUUACUAAAAGAAAUCC